rnacentral:rRNA from 1 species
GAUGAACGCUGGCGGCGUGCCUAAUACAUGCAAGUCGAGCGAACAGACGAGGAGCUUGCUCCUCUGACGUUAGCGGCGGACGGGUGAGUAACACGUGGAUAACCUACCUAUAAGACUGGGAUAACCUCGGGAAACCGGAGCUAAUACCGGAUAAUAUAUUGAACCGCAUGGUUCAAUAGUGAAAGACGGUUUUGCUGUCACUUAUAGAUGGAUCCGCGCCGCAUUAGCUAGUUGGUAAGGUAACGGCUUACCAAGGCAACGAUGCGUAGCCGACCUGAGAGGGUGAUCGGCCACACUGGAACUGAGACACGGUCCAGACUCCUACGGGAGGCAGCAGUAGGGAAUCUUCCGCAAAGGGCGAAAGCUUGACGGAGCAACGCCGCGUGAGUGAUGAAGGUCUUCGGAUCGUAAAACUCUGUUAUUAGGGAAGAACAAAUGUGUAAGUAACUAUGCACGUCUUGACGGUACCUAAUCAGAAAGCCACGGCUAACUACGUG